AUUGAACGCUGGCGGCAGGCUUAACACAUGCAAGUCGAACGAGUGGCGGACGGGAGAGUAAUGCUUGGGAAUCUCGCUUAUGGAGGGGGAUAACUACGGGAAACUGUAGCUAAUCCCGCGUACCAUAGGAUGAGCCCAAGGGGGAUUAGGUAGUUGGUGGGGUAAAGGCUCACCAAGCCGACGAUCUCUAGCUGGUCGGAGAGGAUGACCGGCCACACGGGGACUGAGACACGGCCCAGACUCCUACGGGAGGCAGCAGGGGGGAAUAGUGGGCAAUGGGGGCAACCUGACGCAGCCAGGCCGCGUGAAUGAAGAAGGCCUUCGGGUUGUAAAGUGCUUUCGGUAGCGAGGCGUUAACUACAGAAGAAGCACCGGCUAACUCCGUGCCAGCCGCCGCGGUAAUAC
rnacentral:rRNA from 1 species